CAGCACAGCACCAGGAGAGAGAACCCGACAAGAACCGGAGAAGAAGUUGAACAUCAAUUUCAUCUGAAUUUCGCCGAGCCCUAAUUGAAAUUCCAGUUUUCUGUGAAUCCUCCCUUCAUUGCUGAGAAUGAGUGGCCGCUUUUCACGCUCAAUCUACGUUGGCAACCUACCAGCAGAUAUAAAGGAACUGGAAGUUGAAGAUCUGUUCUACAAGUAUGGUCGUAUAUUGGACAUUGAGUUGAAGAUUCCACCUCGCCCUCCUUGCUACUGUUUUGUGGAGUUUGAAAGUUCUCGAGAUGCUGAAGAUGCCAUCAGGGGUAGGGAUGGCUACAACUUUGAUGGCUGUAGGCUGAGGGUUGAGCUUGCUCAUGGAGGAAGAGGGCCAUCAUCUUCAAGUGAUCGCAGAGGCAGUUAUGGCAGCGGUGGCGGUGGAGGUGGAGGGCGCCAUGGCAUUUCUCGGCAUUCUGAUUACCGAGUUAUUAUUCGAGGUCUUCCAUCUUCUGCUUCUUGGCAAGAUUUGAAGGAUCAUAU
rnacentral:misc_RNA from 1 species